rnacentral:lncRNA from 1 species
AUAGCUCGGGGACAACAACGACGAACCUGAUGACAGCCACAACGGAUCUGAUGACGACGGAUGUACUGACCUGAAGACGGUAGAUCUGAUGACGACGGAAAGAAACACGGCGGAGCAAUGGUAUUCUGUCGUAGGUGAAGGACGAGGAAGAUGAACACGACGGGAUUGUUUCCGACGAUUAGAUUUUCGAUUUUUUUUUAAUUAAUCAAAGGAGAGGGCAUAAUGGUAAAUGAUUCCAUUUAAUGAAAUUUAUUUUUGUGAUUUUGGAUCUUGAGUGCUAGUUUGGGAACAAAAACUUGAUUUGGUGCUAUAUAAGGC